rfam:Angiostrongylus costaricensis strain Costa Rica genome assembly, scaffold: ACOC_contig0001369
CCGUCGAUAUCUCAGUUUGUAGAGCGGAGGACUGUAGAGUUGCAGCAAUCCUUAGGUCGCUGGUUCGUGUCCAACUCGACGGA